AGCGAACGCUGGCGGCAGGCCUAACACAUGCAAGUCGAACGAAGUCUUCGGACUUAGUGGCGGACGGGUGAGUAACACGUGGGAACGUACCUUUUGGUUCGGAACAACUCAGGGAAACUUGAGCUAAUACCGGAUGAGCCCUUAGGGGGAAAGAUUUAUCGCCGAAAGAGCGGCCCGCGUUAGAUUAGCUAGUUGGUGAGGUAAAGGCUCACCAGGGCUACGGUCUAUAGCUGGUCGGCGAGGAUGAUCGGCCACACUGGGACUGAGCCACGGCCCUGACGCAUACGGGAGGCAGCAGUGGGAUAUCUUGCGCAAUGGGCGAAAGCCUGACGCAGCCAUGCCGCGUGAAUGAUGAAGGUCUUAGGAUUGUAAAAUUCUUUUACCAGGGACGAUAAUGACGGUACCUGGAGAAAAAGCCCCGGCUAACUUCGUGCCAGCCGCCGCAGUAACAC
rnacentral:rRNA from 1 species